GGUAAUUUUUGUGACUAUUUUACUCAUUUUCAUUUCUAGAGAAGAUUAGCAUGGUCCCUGCGUAAGGAUGACACACACAAAUCGAGAAAUGGUCUAAAUUUUU